rnacentral:rRNA from 1 species
AGAUUGUACGCUGGCGGCAUGCCUUACACAUGCAAGUCGAACGGCAGCACGGGAGCAAUCCUGGUGGCGAGUGGCGAACGGGUGAGUAAUACAUCGGAACGUGCCCAAUCGUGGGGGAUAACGCAGCGAAAGCUGUGCUAAUACCGCAUAAGAUCUACGGAUGAAAGCGGGGGAUCGCAAGACCUCGCGCGAGUGGAGCGGCCGAUGGCAGAUUAGGUAGUUGGUGAGGUAAAGGCUCACCAAGCCUGCGAUCUGUAGCUGGUCUGAGAGGACGACCAGCCACACUGGAACUGAGACACGGUCCAGACUCCUACGGGAGGCAGCAGUGGGGAAUUUUGGACAAUGGGCGCAAGCCUGAUCCAGCAAUGCCGCGUGCAGGAUGAAGGCCUUCGGGUUGUAAACUGCUUUUGUACGGAACGAAAAGGUCUCUUCUAAUAAAGGGGGCCCAUGACGGUACCGUAAGAAUAAGCACCGGCUAACUACGUGCCAGCAGCCGCGGUAAUACGUAGGGUGCGAGCGUUAAUCGGAAUUACUGGGCGUAAAGCGUGCGCAGGCGGUUAUAUAAGACAGUUGUGAAAUCCCCGGGCUCAACCUGGGAACUGCAUCUGUGACUGUAUAGCUAGAGUACGGUAGAGGGGGAUGGAAUUCCGCGUGUAGCAGUGAAAUGCGUAGAUAUGCGGAGGAACACCGAUGGCGAAGGCAAUCCCCUGGACCUGUACUGACGCUCAUGCACGAAAGCGUGGGGAGCAAACAGGAUUAGAUACCCUGGUAGUCCACGCCCUAAACGAUGUCAACUGGUUGUUGGGAAUUCACUUUCUCAGUAACGAAG